CGACGUGGGACAUGUUGCUGCCUCUCAUAAGUGACUGAAGGGGUUUUCACCCCUUCAGCAAUCGGGGAUUGGGAGGUGGGAGGGAGAGGGGAUUGUUUUCCUGGCACUGGAGUUUCCCUUUAAGAGCUGAUUGUACCUGGCUCUAAGUAUAAUGGUGUAUGUGCCUUUAAGAGGGAACAUAUCUUCUAUGGAGCAGGAUACACAGAAACUUAGUGAACUUAAAGGACCACUAUAG